rnacentral:rRNA from 1 species
GACGAACGCUGGCGGCGUGCCUAAUACAUGCAAGUAGAACGCUGAAGAGAGGAGCUUACUCUUCUUGGAUGAGUUGCGAACGGGUGAGUAACGCGUAGGUAACCUGCCUUGUAGCGGGGGAUAACUAUUGGAAACGAUAGCUAAUACCGCAUAACAAUGGAUGACACAUGUCAUUUAUUUGAAAGGGGCAAUUGCUCCACUACAAGAUGGACCUGCGUUGUAUUAGCUAGUAGGUGAGGUAAUGGCUCACCUAGGCGACGAUACAUAGCCGACCUGAGAGGGUGAUCGGCCACACUGGGACUGAGACACGGCCCAGGCUCCUACGGGAGGCAGCAGUAGGGAAUCUCCGGCAAUGGGGGCAACCCUGACCGAGCAAAGCCGCGUGAGUGAAGAAGGUUUUCGGAUCGUAAAGCUCUGUUGUAAGUCAAGAACGGGUGUGAGAGUGGAAAGUUCACACUGUGACGGUAGCUUACCAGAAAGGGACGGCUAACUACGUG